CAGCAAUGCCAGGACUUGUGUUUUGCCAACCCACAAUGCGUCGUCUUCACAACUUUCCAAGGGUUUUGCUUCCUCACUGUUUUAAAUGGGUCGGCCAAUGAAAAUAUCGCAAACUUCAAAAGCUGUCAAGCAACUUACACCGACGGAAUACUUAGGGUUACGGAUCUUGCUAACACUAGGAGCACAUUUUUAUUCAGCGAGGUGUCGAAUAUUUUGAACCCAUUUAACACACCCAAUAAAAAAUAAAGGAAGAGGUUAGACGUCCUCAGAAUGGUCUUCACUUUCUUCAUGAAAUAAAAUUUGAAAGAUCAACAUUGUUUUUUGGGUUGAAGGAAAUCUAUACAUUUUUCUCGGCCAAAACCAAUACAAAUUGAUUUAAAUAAACAACACAAAUGCCAUUGAGCCGGGGUUUUAACGGAAUCAUUUAUGACUAUUAAUCAGUGUCUGCAUUUAAUAUGGUGUUGUCUUGACUAAAAAUGUAUAUAUUUUGGUUUUAAUAUUAAAUAGUUGUUGGUAACCUAUGUUAUUUUUAAAUGUAUCGCAUUUUUGUUAAUUAGUUCUUUC